UACGUAGGGUGCAAGCGUUGUCCGGAAUUAUUGGGCGUAAAGAGCUCGUAGGCGGUCUGUCGCGUCGGCUGUGAAAACCCGGAGCUCAACUCCGGGCCUGCAGUCGAUACGGGCAGACUGGAGUUCGGCAGGGGAGACUGGAAUUCCUGGUGUAGCGGUGAAAUGCGCAGAUAUCAGGAGGAACACCGGUGGCGAAGGCGGGUCUCUGGGGCCACUACUGACGCUGAGAAGCGAAAGCAUGGGGAGCGAACAGG
rnacentral:rRNA from 1 species